CACGUAGGAGCCAAGCGUUAUCCGAAUUCACUGGGCGUAAAGCGCGUGCAGGCGGCUCGGUAAGUUGGAUGUGAAAGCUCCUGGCUCAACUGGGAGAGGACGUUCAAUACUGUCGAGCUAGAGGGUGACAGAGGGAGGUGGAAUUCCCGGUGUAGUGGUGAAAUGCGUAGAUAUCGGGAGGAACACCAGUGGCGAAAGCGGCCUCCUGGGUCACACCUGACGCUAAGACGCGAAAGCUAGGGGAG
rnacentral:rRNA from 1 species